rnacentral:rRNA from 1 species
AGCGAACGCUGGCGGCAGGCCUAACACAUGCAAGUCGAACGAACUCUUCGGAGUUAGUGGCGGACGGGUGAGUAACACGUGGGAACGUGCCUUUAGGUUCGGAAUAACUCAGGGAAACUUGUGCUAAUACCGAAUGUGCCCUUCGGGGGAAAGAUUUAUCGCCUUUAGAGCGGCCCGGGUCUGAUUAGCUAGUUGGUGAGGUAAAGGCUCACCAAAGCGACGAUCAGGAGCUGGUCUGAGAGGAUGAUCAGAUAAAUUGGGCGGGAGACACGGCCCGAACACCUGCGGGAGGUAGCAGUGGGGAAGCCAGCGCAAUGGGCGAAAGCCUGACGCAGUCAUGCCGCGUGAAUGAUGAAGGUCUGAGGAUAGUAAAAUUCUUUCACCGGGGACGAUAAUGACGGUACCCGGAGAAGAAGCCCCGGCUAACUUCGUGCCAGCCGCCGCCGUAA